GGUUUCAAUUGUAGACGUAUGAAAGCAAAAAUGGGUUAAGUUUAUAAGAUUAUAUAUUAUUUCAUUUACUUGCAAAUAUCACUGACUUUUUGUAUGCGGUUGUUAUAUUAAGGAUUGAGGGAGUAUGUUCAAGCGAUAUGGAUUGUAGAGAUCUUAGGUGCCAACAUGGUAUCUUUCAAUGUGUUGAUCGUAAAUGUCAAUGCAGUAACGGUGGAGCUUCUACUAAUGGAUAUGAACCUUCAGCAUGUAUCAAAGGUGCACUUUGUAAUGGAGCAGGGAAUUAAGGUUUUAAAUGUAUUAGUCACAUUGACCUCUAUGGUAUCUUAUGCGAAUAAAAAGUUAUCCUAAUAAGAUUAUAUUUUUAUUUAAAUCCAAUUUUGGCUUAUAUGUCAAUAUGAAAAUUUUAUGAUUGUGAAAAUAGGAUUAAUCUCAUCAGAGCCUUCUAUGUAUUGCAUGUUGAACUAUGCUGUGAGAAAGCAUUAAUAAUAAGUCCUCCAUAUCCACCCUUUAUUGAAGUAACAAUCAAGAAUUUUUCUUGACAUAAUUUAAUUCAUAUAACAUAUAGUUUAUAUGAGAACUUAUUUUAACUUUGGACUUAUUCACGAUAAUGUCCUUGUAGUGUUGCAGAUCCAAGGUAGUGCAACAAACUUUCAGACCCAAAACACACUAGCCCUAAAAAAAUAAAUAUCAAGUUAUUGGUAGUGUAUGAUAUGAGUUUUUAUAUGAAAGAAUUACAUAUUUUUCUAACAUGGUAUUUAUGGUAUCACAAUCUUGAUACUCAAAAUCCUAAUGUUCUU
rnacentral:lncRNA from 1 species